rnacentral:rRNA from 1 species
GAUGAACGCUGGCGGCGUGCCUAAUACAUGCAAGUCGAGCGAACAGACGAGGAGCUUGCUCCUCUGACGUUAGCGGCGGACGGGUGAGUAACACGUGGAUAACCUACCUAUAAGACUGGGAUAACUUCGGGAAACCGGAGCUAAUACCGGAUAAUAUAUUGAACCGCAUGGUUCAAUAGUGAAAGACGGUUUUGCUGUCACUUAUAGAUGGAUCCGCGCCGCAUUAGCUAGUUGGUAAGGUAACGGCUUACCAAGGCAACGAUGCGUAGCCGACCUGAGAGGGUGAUCGGCCACACUGGAACUGGGACACGGUCCAGACUCCUACGGGAGGCAGCAGUAGGGAAUCUUCCGCAAUGGGCGAAAGCCUGACGGAGCAACGCCGCGUGAGUGAUGAAGGUCUUGGGAUCGUAAAACUCUGUUAUUAGGGAAGAACAAAUGUGUAAGUAACUAUGCACGUCUUGACGGUACCUAAUCAGAAAGCCACGGCUAACUACGUG